rnacentral:rRNA from 1 species
UGGGGAAUUUUGGACAAUGGGGGCAACCCUGAUCCAGCAAUGCCGCGUGUGUGAAGAAGGCCUUCGGGUUGUAAAGCACUUUUGUCCGGAAAGAAAUCCCUUGCCCUAAUACGGCGGGGGGAUGACGGUACCGGAAGAAUAAGCACCGGCUAACUACGUGCCAGCAGCCGCGGUAAUACGUAGGGUGCGAGCGUUAAUCGGAAUUACUGGGCGUAAAGCGUGCGCAGGCGGGUUUUGUAAGACAGGCGUGAAAUCCCCGAGCUCAACUUGGGAAUGGCGCUUGUGACUGCAAGGCUAGAGUAUGUCAGAGGGGGGUAGAAUUCCACGUGUAGCAGUGAAAUGCGUAGAGAUGUGGAGGAAUACCGAUGGCGAAGGCAGCCCCCUGGGACGUCACUGACGCUCAUGCACGAAAGCGUGGGGAGCAAACAGGAUUAGAUACCCUGGUAGUCCACGCCCUAAACGAUGUCAACUAGUUGUUGGGGAUUCAUUUCUUCAGUAACGUAGCUAACGCGUGAAGUUGACCGCCUGGGGAGUACGGUCGCAAGAUUA